rnacentral:lncRNA from 1 species
CAGAAAGGGAAAAUUAAGAGAGGUCACUCACUGUCGUCCACCAGUUUUGUCUUGCUUACAAGUCUUUAGAUGAUUAAAGCAGUAGAAAGAGGUCUCAUCUGGAUCCCCCUCACCACUUGCUUAUUAAAAGUGCCUUCUGCCUAGAGACUAUAAAUAUGGAUGCAUGUCUGGGGAUGUCUUGAGCCUAGGCUGCAGGAGUUCCAGCCUAUGAAAGUUGGUGAAUCGCUUCAGUCCCUUUCAUUUGAAGUCACUUCCUAGGUCUAUAUGUCAAGCAUUCCAUACAGAGCAGGAGGAAUGAGCUAGAGUAAAACUGACAGGGAUACACCUUCCUCGGCAGCCGAUACUGCUGAAGACCUUCAUCCUUCAUCUUAAGUUGGUUUGGAGCACAGCUUAAGACUAAACUCAAUUCUGGAAGAAGACUUCUAGCACAGGA